rnacentral:rRNA from 1 species
GACGAACGCUGGCGGCGUGCCUAAUACAUGCAAGUCGAACGCUUCUUUCCUCCCGAGUGCUUGCCCUCAAUUGGAAAGAGGAGUGGCGGACGGGUGAGUAACACGUGGGUAACCUACCCAUCAGAGGGGGAUAACACUUGGAAACAGGUGCUAAUACCGCAUAACAGUUUAUGCCGCAUGGCAUAAGAGUGAAAGGCGCUUUCGGGUGUCGCUGAUGGAUGGACCCGCGGUGCAUUAGCUAGUUGGUGAGGUAACGGCCCACCAAGGCCACGAUGCAUAGCCGACCUGAGAGGGUGAUCGGCCACACUGGGACUGAGACACGGCCCAGACUCCUACGGGAGGCAGCAGUAGGGAAUCUUCGGCAAUGGACGAAAGUCUGACCGAGCAACGCCGCGUGAGUGAAGAAGGUGUUCGGAUCGUAAAACUCUGUUGUUAGAGAAGAACAAGGACGUUAGUAACUGAACGUCCCCUGACGGUAUCUAACCAGAAAGCCACGGCUAACUACGUG